rnacentral:rRNA from 1 species
GAUGAACGCUAGCUACAGGCCUAACACAUACAAGUCGAGGGGAAACGAUAUUGGAAGCUUGCUUCCGAUAGGCGUCGACCGGCGCACGGGUGAGUAACGCGUAUCCAACCUGCCCAUCACUUGGGGAUAACCUUGCGAAAGUAAGGCUAAUACCCAAUGAUAUCUCAAGAAGACAUCUGAAAGGGAUUAAAGAUUUAUCGGUGAUGGAUGGGGAUGCGUCUGAUUAGCUUGUUGGCGGGGUAACGGCCCACCAAGGCGACGAUCAGUAGGGGUACUGAGAGGAAGGUCCCCCACAUUGGAACUGAGACACGGUCCGAACUCCUACGGGAGGCAGCAGUGAGGAAUAUUGGUCAAUGGGCGAGAGCCUGAACCAGCCAAGUAGCGGGCAGGAAGACGGCCCUAUGGGUUGUAAACUGCUUUUAUAAGGGAAUAAAGUGAGUCUCGUGAGACUUUUUGCAUGUACCUUAUGAAUAAGGACCGGCUAAUUCCGUGCCAGCCGCCGCAGUAA